rnacentral:snRNA from 1 species
AGACAAUCAGCACAAACAUUGUU